AGAUUGAACGCUGGCGGCAGGCCUAACACAUGCAAGUCGAGCGGCAGCACGGGUACUUGUACCUGGUGGCGAGCGGCGGACGGGUGAGUAAUGCCUAGGAAUCUGCCUGAUAGUGGGGGGAUAACGUUCGGAAACGGACGCUAAUACCGCAUACGUCCUACGGGAGAAAGUGGGGGAUCUUCGGACCUCACGCUAUCAGAUGAGCCUAGGUCGGAUUAGCUAGUUGGUAGGGUAAAGGCCUACCAAGGCUACGAUCCGUAACUGGUCUGAGAGGAUGAUCAGUCACACUGGAACUGAGACACGGUCCAGACUCCUACGGGAGCAGCAGGUGGGAAUAUUGGACAAGUGGGCGAAAGCCUGACUCCAGCCAUGCCGCGUGUGUAGAAGAAGGUCUUCGGUAUUAGUAAAGCUACGUUUUAAGGUUGGGAAGGAA
rnacentral:rRNA from 1 species